rnacentral:rRNA from 1 species
UACGAAGGGGGCUAGCGUUGCUCGGAAUCACUGGGCGUAAAGGGCGCGUAGGCGGACCGUUAAGUCGGGGGUGAAAUCCUGGAGCUCAACUCCAGAACUGCCUUCGAUACUGGCGAUCUUGAGUCCGGAAGAGGUGAGUGGAACUCCUAGUGUAGAGGUGGAAUUCGUAGAUAUUAGGAAGGAACACCAGUGGCGAAGGCGGCUCACUGGUCCGGUACUGACGCUGAGGUG